CUGUUUGAUUACUCUUGGUUUUUAUUCCAUGACAGUCAUUAUAAAGAUUCCCGUUCAGCUUCUAGUUUGGAUAAAAAAAUCAGGACUCAUCAGUACUGUGCUGUAAAUUCAAAAGGACUUGUGUAAUUGGAUUGGAGCCCUACAAUGAAAUCAUUUUUGCUUGGAUCCAUCAGUGUUAGGUGGACUCAUUGGCAUCGAAAAGGAAGCAACGGAGUCAAAGGCUUACGUCAUGUGACAUCUCUCCUUGCCAGUCUUUGUAAAAUCAUGUCAUUUGGUUAUAUGAGAUUAUUAUCGUGCAGUGAAAGAGACAUCAGGGUGCCGUCCGCACUGUACUAUGAUCCAAAGUCUCCAUCAGGACUUUUCUUAAUUUAGAAGUGAGAUCAUUUUCAUAUGACAACACAAUUCUAACUUUAAACCUGGUUUGGUCCACUGUUUUCCCCACUCCACCCUUCAACCACACCAGGAAUAUCCGUCAGUGGUGUUGUCUGAGAACACAGUUCUGUAUAUGUCAUGAAAAUGUGUUGCGGAACAGGAGUGGAGAAAUUUGUUUGGAGCCAAAGGCAGACGGAAAGUUUGGAUGGGAAAAGAUGCACACCGCAGUGUCGUCUCCUAACAUUGGGCGUUUCUCAAAAUGUGGUCGUCCAUAGGGCGGCACGGCUGUGUCUCACCGCCCUCCAUCUCAGAGCUCAAAGGAGAGGAAGCCUGGAGAAGACAGGACAAUAAAAUAUGACGAUGACAAACCCACAGACGGACUCCAUCUGAUAGACUUAAAAAGUAUUCAGGAUGCAUGAUGCAUUCUGGACGUUGACAAAGACCCAUCCCAUCAUUGAAGAAUACAUUUCAAAAGCAAAAAGGAAUAAUUAAGGCUCAAAACUUUGUGAUAAAGAAAAAUUGAACAAUGUGUGUAAUGUGAGUAAUGUCUGGGAUCUUGCUUAGAAGUCCAUGAAAAUGUGUAAUCAUAAAGUGUUUGAAACAAAAACUUAAACUGUGAACUUUAUCUGUGACCAUCAGUUUGCAUACUCUCAUUGUUAAUAAAUCUGAACUCAGCUCAUGAAGCAGAUGAAACUAGUCAAGGCAACAUCUGAGCUAAAAUAAGAUCACAAGCAUAAAACAACUACAAACAAAACUUAAGAAAUAAGUACAUCAACUCAAGCAAUAAACAAACUACAAGACAUAAUGUGACGGAUAAAUAGGCAAAAGAAAUAAAGAUAGCUUGCUAGCAUCAAAAUCAUUUUCUUUUAAAUCAUAUCAUGUCAUCAUAUUUUUGUAGAGCAGGAUCGGUUUCAGGUUUUAGGCCACAAAGAAAGGCUUAUUGAUAAGAAGGAUGAAUGAUCAAAAAUCUACAGAAUCCAACUUCCCACCUGAGGUCAUUUUAGAG